CAUAUCAAUAAGCGGAGGAAAAGAAACCAACAGGGAUUGCCCUAGUAACGGCGAGUGAAGCGGCAACAGCUCAAAUUUGAAAUCUGGCUUCGGCCCGAGUUGUAAUUUGUAGAGGAAGCUUCUGGCGCGGUGCCAUCCGAGUCCCCUGGAACGGGGCGCCAUAGAGGGUGAGAGCCCCGUAUGGAUGGAUGCCUAGCCUGUGUGAAGCUCCUUCGACGAGUCGAGUAGUUUGGGAAUGCUGCUCAAAAUGGGAGGUAAAUUCCUUCUAAAGCUAAAUAUUGGCCAGAGACCGAUAGCGCACAAGUAGAGUGAUCGAAAGAUGAAAAGCACUUUGAAAAGAGGGUUAAACAGCACGUGAAAUUGUUGAAAGGGAAGCGCUUGUGACCAGACUUGCGCCAGGUUGAUCAUCCGGUGUUCUCACCGGUGCACUCUGCCUGGCACAGGCCAGCAUCAGUUUUGGCGGGGGGAUAAAGGGCGCAGGAACGUAGCUCCUCCGGGAGUGUUAUAGCCUGUGUCGUAAUGCCCUCGCCGGGACUGAGGACCGCGCAUCUGCAAGGAUGCUGGCGUAAUGGUCAUCAGCGACCCGUCUUGAAACACGGACCAAGGAGUCAAGGUUUUGCGCGAGUGUUUGGGUGUAAAACCCGCACGCGUAAUGAAAGUGAACGUAGGUGAGAGCUUCGGCGCAUCAUCGACCGAUCCUGAUGUAUUCGGAUGGAUUUGAGUAAGAGCGUUAAGCCUUGGACCCGAAAGAUGGUGAACUAUGCUUGGAUAGGGUGAAGCCAGAGGAAACUCUGGUGGAGGCUCGCAGCGGUUCUGACGUGCAAAUCGAUCGUCAAAUCUGAGCAUGGGGGCGAAAGACUAAUCGAA
rnacentral:rRNA from 1 species